GCCAAAGCAUGAAGUGAAGAGGAAAGGAAAGAACACAAACCCUAGGUGGGAAAAUUGAAGAAAAAGUGUGGGAUUUCAAGGGAUUAAGCUAAUAAAGGUAAAAUUUUAUGAUUUUAUCUUUUGAUUUACACUACCCAUGCUUUCUUUUUCAUUUUCCAUGCUUAGAACUCAAGUUUGCAUGAUGAAUCCAUGCUGGCCGAAUCUGAGAGGAGAGGUUUUGAGCACUGAUUUUGCUAGAUUUUCAAGCUAAUUAAGUGUUUUUGGUUGUUUGGUAAUGGAAAGUAUGAAAAUCUAGCAAGGAAUCACUUUGUUCUUCACAAGCCCACAAGAGGCUGAAUUUUCUAGGGAGGAUAUUGAGGCUGAAAUUGAUGAUAUUUUAUGAUAUAUUGGUGGUAUUUAAUGAUUGGUGAGGCUAGAAAUUUAAUGGAAAAUUUUGGAAUGAAAAUUUAAAUUUUUGCCUAAUGUAUAGACAUGUGCGAUUUAUGGUCCGGACUAAUAAAUUGAAUCAUAUUCACAGUCAUUGAGGUAUUUUAAGUAUAAUUGGAGUGUAGAAAGUGAAAGAAAUCGAUUUGGAGUUAAAUUGGAGGUUUUAGCCAAUUACACCAAGAAUAGUGCUAAUUAGGUCGAAUACCGUAUUUAAACGGCUAUUUGGACAUUUUGCAUCACAUUUAGUGCAUUCAUUUAGAUUUGUAGAGCCUGAAAUAGUUAAUGAUAAAUUGACACAAUUUAUUGAAAUUCGUGUCACGUAUGAUGUAUAGGUGGUGAGCCCUCUAAUAAGGGUAAAGAGAUUGUGCUCGAAGAUCGGGAAUAGGAGUAUAUCGAACUCCUAGUACUGUGAGUAACCUUACUAUCGUCUUAAUUAUCUAAAGUGGUUUUUAUCCGAUUUUGUGAAUUUUAUGGAAAAUGAAUUAAAUGAUUAAUUUUUCGGUUUUAUAAACCAAAUGUGAUUUAAUGAAAUGAUUUCAUAAAAUUGUUUUAAAAUUGAAUAAUGGCUUUCAAAAUAGAGUAAUUGGAGACCAUUUGAUGUAUUGUGAAUUUAUGGUUCUAAUUGAUUGGCUUAUGAUAAUAUUGGCAUGAAUGACUGAAUUAGUAUUUGUGUUGAAAUAUAUAUGAACUGUGUAUUUAGCCUUGAAAGGCUGUGAAUUACAAUAAUUGCCAUGUCAUGCUGUUAAAUUUUAUUGAUUGGUGGGAUAAUUAUUAGCUUACUGCAGUGAGCGGGUUCCGUGGACCAGCCUAUUAGAGGGACACGGUAAUCCCAUUAUAUUCUUACCUUAGUAUGAGAGGCGCAGGUGGAUAAUUCCUGAGGUUAACACUUUUAGAGUUCACUUCACGUCAAACCACCACGUGAGGGGAAACUUAGCCAACGCCAAGGAAUGGCUAUGUUUUCAAAAUUAAAACAUAAUUUAUGCGUACAUGACUUUUUAACAGCCUUGGCGGACUCAGUUGGGAUAGCCCUUGAUCAAGGUAUCCCUUAUAACUGGAUAUGAGAAUGGUUUUGGCACAAGCCAAAGUUUUAAGAAAUUCAUAAGCCAUAUUAAUUACUCGAUUUAUAUGAAUGGAUUUUAUUUGGUUGAAACAAGUUGAAAGGUGAUGAAUUUCAAUAUGUUAAACUGUUUUAUCUGUCUCCAUUUGCUCGACUUUAUAUGGUUUAGAUGGUAUCUGUUUACUCACUGAGAUUUUAUAAUCUCACCACCCUCCUUUUCAACCAUUUCAGGCCCAAGGUAGCUUGUGGAUAGCAAAUAUCGUCAAGGAUUAUAGUCGGCUUUACUACUCCAAAAACUGUAGGUUUACUGCCUUUGUGCACUUUUGUUCCUUGUGGGCCCACAAGUCACUGUAAAGUAAAUUUCAUAUCCCGAUUAUUUGCAUUAUAGUACGUAUGAAUUUAUUUAGCUUUCACAUUACAAAAAUUAUUUACCGAUGACUCUAUAAAUAUUGUUUUACAAGAAAUUAGAAUAUUUUAUUCAAUAUUUUUAUUUUAUUCAAAUAGUUGCAAUAUCAUUUUCAAUAAAUGUUUUAGACACC
rnacentral:lncRNA from 1 species